GUGAGGAAUAUUGCGCAAUGGAGGCAACUCUGACGCAGCCAUGCCGCGUGCAGGAAGAAGGCGCUACGCGUUGUAAACUGCUUUUAACCGGGAAGAAACCCCAGGACGUGUCCUGGGUUGACGGUACCGGAGGAAUAAGCACCGGCUAACUUCGUGCCAGCAGCCGCGGUAAUACGAAGGGUGCAAGCGUUAUCCGGAUUCAUUGGGUUUAAAGGGUGCAUAGGCGGAGCGUUAAGUCAGUGGUGAAAUCCUGCAGCUUAACUGUAGACUUGCCAUUGAUACUGGCGCUCUUGAGUGCGCUUGAAGUGGGCGGAAUGUGCCGUGUAGCGGUGAAAUGCUUAGAUAUGGCACAGAACACCAAUUGCGAAGGCAGCUCACUAAGGCGAUACUGACGCUGAGGCACGAAAGCGUGGGGAUCGAACAGGAUUAGAUACCCCUGUAGUCC
rnacentral:rRNA from 1 species